GAUAAUUCAUUUUUAUCAUGAAACAAAAUUUGGGGUUGACGCAUUAGAUGCGAAAUGUGCGUUGUAUUCAGUAUCCAGAAAAACUAACCGUUGGCUAAUGGCAAUUUUUUUGCUAUAUUGAACAUUGCAGGUGUAAAUUCUCGAGUAUUGUACCAAUUUGCAUGAAAAGAUGAACAUUUGCGACUCAGAAUGGCCAACAAGAAGUUGCACUUAAAUUUACGAAUCCUCAUUGCUGGACUUUUGGGGGUUACGAAUCCAGUUUCUGAGCAGCCUCAGGUACCUCCUGAAAAAAGUAGAAGAAAAAGGUGUGUCAUAUGCCCCACCAACAAGGAUAGGAAAACUGCUAUCCAGUGUGACAUAUGUAAAUUGCCCAUUUGCAAUCAAUGAUGCAAGAAAUUGUGCCCUAAGUAUUCUGAAAAAUAAUGUUGGGUUUUUUUCGGUUUAUGUACUGUAAUAUACCCAAGUUAUUUAAAAUUUUUGAAUAAAAGUUUUUUUUUAUUGA